GCUGCAUGCUUUAUACAUGCAAGUCGAACGGAGGCCCUAGCUUGCUAGGUGUCCUUAGUGGCGCACGGGUGAGUAACACGUGGGAACAUACCUUAUAGUACGGAAUAACUGCGGGAAACUGUAGCUAAUACCGUAUACUCCAGUAAUGGGAAAGAUUUAUCGCUAUAAGAUUGGCCCGCGCGAGAUUAGCUUGUUGGUGAGGUAAAAGCUCACCAAGGCUUCGAUCUUUAGCUGGUUUGAGAGGACGAUCAGCCACACUGGGACUGAGACACGGCCCAGACUCCUACGGGAGGCAGCAGUAGGGAAUAUUGGACAAUGGGGGCAACCCUGAUCCAGCAAUGCAGCGUGAGUGACGAAGGCCUUAGGGUUGUAAAACUCUUUCAUCGGUGAGGAUAAUGACAGUAGCCGAAGAAGAAGGACCGGCUAAUUCCG
rnacentral:rRNA from 1 species